GGCGUGAUGGCCGAGCGGUUAGGCACGGGUCUGCAAAACCUGUUACACCGGUUCAACUCCGGUUCACGCCUCCA
rnacentral:tRNA from 1 species